GCCCGAAGUCAUUACCUCAACCGCAAGGAGGGGGAUGCCUAAGGCAGGGCUAGUGACUGGGGUGAAGUCGUAACAAGGUAGCCGUACCGGAAGGUGUGGCUGGAUCACCUCCUUAAAGGGAGACCUAAUUCAGGUAGGCGACGAAAAAAAAGUAGUCCCUACCAAGAAUCAAUCCCAAAAGGUCGGAGCGAGGCAAAAUUGGCUUUCAAACUAGGUUCUGGGUUCACAUAAGACCUGAAUCAGGAACAAGGGCUAUUAGCUCAGGUGGUUAGAGCGCACCCCUGAUAAGGGUGAGGUCCCUGGUUCGAGUCCAGGAUGGCCCACCUGCACAGGUGGCCAAAACAAAGAAAAAAAGCUCCGAAUCAGCACCUUAUCUUAUUUAUAUAUAAGAGAGAAUGCUGGCUCUGAGUAAAGAGUCCAGAGGAACCUUGAAAACUGCAUAGAGCUA
rnacentral:misc_RNA from 1 species